rnacentral:rRNA from 1 species
CAAACGACUCUCGGCAACGGAUAUCUCGGCUCUUGCAUCGAUGAAGAACGUAGCGAAAUGCGAUACUUGGUGUGAAUUGCAGAAUCCCGUGAACCAUCGAGUCUUUGAACGCAAGUUGCGCCCGAAGCCAUUAGGCCGAGGGCACGCCUGCCUGGGCGUCACGC